CACCUACUUAUCUCCCGAAUACCUCCCGAACCCCUCUCACACGAUCUUCAAUCUCCUCCAGAACCCCUCUCACACAAACCUCAUCUCACGCCCUCUCCAUCCAAAUCCUCUCCGGCGAACCCCUCCGCGAACCUCUCCUCCGAACUCCUCUUCGCCGAACAAACCUCAUCUCACGCCCUCUUCCUCGACGAGCCCACCACCGGGCUCGACAACGUCGCCGCCUGCUUCAUGGUGGAGACGCUGAAGCACAUCGUGGUGGACAAAUGCACCAGCACGCAACAAAAUGCAAGGCCUGUGACAAGACUGUCUACCUUGUGGAUCAGCUCACCGCCGACGAAAUCGUCUUCCAUAAGUCCUGCUUAAGUGCAAUCAUUGCAAAGGAACCCUCACGCUAAGUACAUAUUCAUCCAUGGAAGGUGUUUUGUAUUGCAAGCCUCACUUUGAACAACUCUUCAAGGAAUCUGACAACUUCCACAGGAAUUUUCCGUCAUCUGCAAAAUCUUCUGAUAAAGCUCUAGAACUGAAACAAGCCAUUUAUAAAUUAGUCAAGUGCUAAAGGAAGAUGAGACUAGAGGUGACUCCUAACAAUGAGACUCUUAACUUUGCCCAUCUCUGCAUACACCAAAUGUGAGCAUCUCCCUGGUGGAAAAGAGGUACAUUGCAAUGCCAUCAAAACUAGACAGAUUGACUCAGUUCUGCGUGCCACUCUCGUCGAUUUCUAUACUAAAUGUGGUGAAUUGAAAUCAGCAUUCAUGUUGCAUGAUGAAUGCCAAGUGAAGAGCAGCACCAUAUGGAGCAUCAUGAUGUGGAGCUUUAUUCAGAAUGGUGAGUUCUUGGAAGCUGUCAACGUGUUUGAAAGAAUGCAAAAGUCUGUAAUUAAGCCUUGUAAGGAUGCUCUAAGGGCCUUAGUUGCUGCAUAUACUAACUUGGGAGCUUUGUUGUUGGGUAGAGGAGUUCAUAAUCUUAUGUAGGCUGGGAUUGUGUAAAUAGAAUUUUUUUUGUAAAUAUUAUAGUUUUUGUAAACAUUCGAAUUUACUAUUGUGGUC